CUACGUCACCUGCCCUCUGACUUUUAACAGCCGCGGUAUCCUAACCGUGCUAAGGUAGCAUAAUCACUUGCCUAUUAAUUAUAGGCUAGAAUGAACGGGAUCACUCACUUAAACUUAUUUUUAUUUAAAUUUAAAUUAAACUUUAAGUCAAAAUACUAAAUUAAAAAGAAAGACAAAAAGACCCUGAAAACUAUUAGAAAUAAUUAGUUGGGGCAACUAUAGACCACUCUAGCGUCUAUUUUUUUUUAAACUCUUAAAAUCUAAAGUAUCCAGUUACUUCAGGGAUAACAGACUAAUUUUAUUAUUUAGACCCAAUAAAUAAUAAAGAUUGGCACCUCGAUGUUGGCUUAUAUUUCCUUCAUAUAGCAACAUAUAUAGAAGGCAGCUUGUUCAUCUGUUAAAUAUUUACAUGAG
rnacentral:rRNA from 1 species